rnacentral:lncRNA from 1 species
GGGUUUCUGGGCUGAGAAGAGAGAGAGCAAGUGGAGAGACAGAGUAACAAGAAGGAGACGAAAGAGACGAGAAAGUAAGGAUCUUUCUUCAUAGCCGCCAUCAAAGGUUUACCACAAGGAGAAGGAAAGACAAAAACAAAACAGCAACAAAACUGAAGAACAGAAACUUUGUUUUUGAUGUUUUUUGUGCCCACAAAAGAGAGAUAAAGCAAAAGCAACAAAGAAGAAAGAAGAAUGCUUUUCUUUCUUUUUCUUGGGUUUUGUUUUAAAAAAACUUUCUUUGUCUCUGGCUCGCACUGAAUUAUGUAUGAAUUGUAAGGAGAGAUAAUCAACACACAGAAACAGGUUUUAAACCAGAGAGCAUUUUUUUUCUGGAUUUGUAGAGAGAGAGAAGGUUGUGUAGUGGUUUAGUGUGGGGGGGAGGGGAGAAUGAGGUUGGAAAGCUGAUACGGACCCGUAUUGGUGUGUGAUUUUACUUUUGUUCAGUUUCUCUUCUUUUUUUGUUUUAAUGCCAAUUUUGUGAAAACUUGUUCCACACAUAAAUAAGGGUGGCAAAUUAGGGGAAGAGAUCAGAGAUGGGAUGAGAACAUAAGAAAGGUUUAGUCUUUUUUUUAAAAAAAAAUUACAUUUUUA